rnacentral:rRNA from 1 species
CACGUAGGCGGCAUAGUAAGUCAAAUGUGAAAUCCUAUGGCUUAACCAUAGAAUUGCAUUCGAUACUACUAAGCUAGAGUGCGGGAGAGGAAGAUGGAAUUCCCGGUGUAAGAGUGAAAUCUGCAGAGAUCGGGAGGAACACCAGUUGCGAAGGCGAUCUUCUGGACCGUAACUGACGCUGAGUGUGCGAAAGCUAGGGGAGCAAACAGGAUUAGAUACCCUGGUAGUCC